rnacentral:lncRNA from 1 species
UAUUUGCAUGCCAUAAUUCUUCUUUCUUUCCAAAACUGAGAGAACUUAGCUUAUUUUUCGGAAUUAGAGAUCCAACCUUCAAGAGUUGCAGGACGAGAAGCACGAGGGCGUGAGAAAGAAGAAAUGUAUGAAAAUGAGAGAAAAGCUUGAUAGAGUUUGAUUUUGGCAGAGUUUGGGCGCAAGUGGAGGUUUUUAAUCGAUUAUGGGUUAGUACUUAAAGAGAAGAUUGAAAAACUAGCCGUUUAUGACUGUUUAUAGUCGUUUCAGACUGUUAUAACGACUAAUUUUUUUGAACCAGUGUUGACUGAUAAUCUAUUAUCACUAAUGAGAAUUAAUUAUUGGUUCAAAAAAAUUUCCCAAAUAGUCGCUGAUAAUCG